rnacentral:tRNA from 1 species
GGCGGCGUACCCAAGUGGUUUAAGGGAGCGGUUUGCAAAACCGUUAUGCAGCGGUUCGAAUCCGCUCGCCGCCU